GUCCACGCCCUAACGAUGUCUACUAGUUGUUGGGUCUUAAUUGACUUAGUAACGCAGCUAACGCGUGAAGUAGACCGCCUGGGGAGUACGGUCGCAAGAUUAAACUCAAAGGAAUUGACGGGACCCGCACAAGCGGUGGAUGAUGUGGAUUAAUUCGAUGCAACGCGAAAACCUUACCUACCCUUGACAUGGAUGGAACCUCGGAGAGAUCUGAGGGUGCUCGAAAGAGAACCAUCACACAGGUGCUGCAUGGCUGUCGU
rnacentral:rRNA from 1 species